rnacentral:rRNA from 1 species
CCUACGGGUGGCAGCAGUGGGGAAUUUUGCGCAAUGCUCGUAAGAGUGACGCAGCGACGCCGCGUGAAUGACGAAGGCCUUCGGGUCGUAAAGUUCUUUCUACAGGGCAGACAAUGCCUAUAAGUAUCUGUGUAUGUAUUUACGGUACCUGUAUAAGCAGCCCCGGCUAACUCCGUGCCAGCAGCCGCGGUAAUACGGAGGGGGCGAGCGGUGUUUGGAGUGACUGGGCGUAAAGGGCACGUAGAUGGUGUUGUAAGUCAUUAGUCAAAGACUAGAGCUCAACUUUAGUAAGGCUAGUGAUACUAUAAUACUAGAGUAUCAGAGAGGAUUGCAGAAUGCCUGGUGUAGCGGGGAAAUGCGUAGAUAUCAGGAGGAAUACCGGUAGCGAAGGCGGCAAUCUGGCUGGAAACUGACGCUGAGGUGCGAAAGCGUGGGUAGCAAACAGGAUUAGAUACCCUUGUAGUC